AGAGUUUGAUCAUGGCUCAGGACGAACGCUGGCGGCGUGCCUAAUACAUGCAAGUCGAGCGCGUGAAACUUUUCAGAUCUCUUCGGAGUGACGAAUUGUGGAUCGAGCGGCGGACGGGUGAGUAACACGUGGGCAACCUGCCUGUAAGAUCGGGAUAACUUGCGGAAACGUGAGCUAAUACCGGAUAAUGUCUUUUACCUCCUGGUAAAAGAAUGAAAGACGGUUUUGCUGUCACUUACAGAUGGGCCCGCGGCGCAUUAGCUAGUUGGUGGGGUAAUGGCCUACCAAGGCGACGAUGCGUGGCCGACCUGAGAGGGUGAUCGGCCACACUGGGACUGAGACACGGCCCAGACUCCUACGGGAGGCAGCAGUAGGGAAUCUUCCGCAAUGGACGAAAGUCUGACGGAGCAACGCCGCGUGAGUGAUGAAGGUUUUCGGAUCGUAAAACUCUGUUGUUAGGGAAGAACAAGUACGAGAGUAACUGCUCGUACCUUGACGGUACCUAACCAGAAAGCCACGGCUAACUACGUGCCAGCCGCCGCGGUAAUUC
rnacentral:rRNA from 1 species